UGUUGUUUUUCACAUAAGGCAGAUGAGACGGCUCCGAGUGAGGCGGCAUUCACAGAGAAGGAGCGCAUCCAACUUAUAUAGACAUUAAGCAAGGCAUUUACAGUACAUGAUCUGUUUGAACGAGACACAAGUGGUCACCUCUGAAUGUUGAAUUCACAAACCGUGACAAUAACUCUUAUGGUACAAGUUUCUACUAUCAUCGGGUACAAACAUAAUAGUGGAG